GAUGAACGCUGACAGAAUGCUUAACACAUGCAAGUCAACUUGAAUUUGGGUUUUUAACUUAGGUUUGGGUGGCGGACGGGUGAGUAACGCGUAAAGAACUUGCCUCACAGCUAGGGACAACAUUUGGAAACGAAUGCUAAUACCUAAUAUUAUGAUAAUAGGGCAUCCUAUAAUUAUGAAAGCUAUAAGCGCUGUGAGAGAGCUUUGCGUCCCAUUAGCUAGUUGGAGAGGUAACGGCUCACCAAGGCGAUGAUGGGUAGCCGGCCUGAGAGGGUGAUCGGCCACACGGGGACUGAGACACGGCCCUUACUCCUACGGGAGGCAGCAGUGGGGAAUAGUGGACAAUGGACCGAGAGUCUGAUCCAGCAAUUCUGUGUGCACGAUGAAGUUUUUCGGAAUGUAAAGUGCUUUCAGUUGGGAAGAAACAAAUGACGGUACCAACAGAAGAAGUGACGGCUAACUACGUG
rnacentral:rRNA from 1 species